AUGGCGGAUCGGCACGGCGAGGGCGGCGUGGCCUCGGCGCGGCCGCCGGGGCACACAGACUUGGACGACCCAUCGACAACGCUGCUGCGGCGCGUGCAGGCGCACCUCCCGACCUCGACGCAGGUGGUGGGCCUCCUGACCCUGCUCAUCGCCGGCGCGGCGCUGCUGGUGCUGGCGGGGCUGACCCUCACGGGCGCAGUGGUGGCGCUCGUCUUCCUCGGUCCGCUGGCUGGCGCUGUUGACCAGCCCGGUGCCGUUCGCGUUCGCGCUCCUCGUGGUGGCCGCCGCGGCGCUCUACUUCGCCACCCUCACCGCGGCUAG
rnacentral:rRNA from 1 species